rnacentral:rRNA from 1 species
AGUGGCGGACGGGUGAGUAACACGUGAGCAACCUGCCCAAAAGUGGGGGAUAGCCCGGGGAAACUCGGAUUAAUACCGCAUGUGAUCUAGUAAGGCAUCUUACCAAGAUUAAAGCUGGGGAUCUUCGGACCUGGCGCUUUUGGAUGGGCUCGCGGCCUAUCAGCUUGUUGGUGAGGUAAAAGCUCACCAAGGCAACGACGGGUACCUGGUCUGAGAGGACGAUCAGGCACACUGGAACUGAGACACGGUCCAGACACCUACGGGUGGCAGCAGUCGAGAAUCAUUCACAAUGGGGGAAACCCUGAUGGUGCGACGCCGCGUGGAGGAUGAAGGCCCUAGGGUCGUAAACUCCUGUCAUCAGAGAGUAAGGCUUAUUGGUUAAUACCCAGUAAGUUUGAUAGUAUCUGAAGAGGAAGGGACGGCUAACUUCGUGCCAGCAGCCGCGGUAAUACGAAGGUCCCAAGCGU